rnacentral:rRNA from 1 species
AUUGAACGCUGGCGGCGUGCCUAACACAUGCAAGUCGAGCGGUAACAGGUGUAGCAAUACAUGCUGACGAGCGGCGAACGGGUGAGUAAUGCUUCGGAAUCUACCCAAUGGUGGGGAAUAACCAGCCGAAAGGUUGGCUAAUACCGCAUACGUCCCACGGGAGAAAGCAGGGGAUCGCAAGACCUUGCGCCAAUGGAUGAGCCGAAGUCGGAUUAGCUAGNGGUAGGUAACGGCCUACCAAGGCGACGAUCCGUAGCUGGUCUGAGAGGACGACCAGCCACACUGGGACUGAGACACGGCCCAGACUCCUACGGGAGGCAGCAGUGGGGAAUAUUGGACAAUGGGGGAAACCCUGAUCCAGCGACGCCGCGUGUGUGAAGAAGGCC